GAGUUUACUCUCAGGCGUCGAGCGGCGGACGGGUGAGUAAUGCGUAGGAACCUACCCAAUAGUAGGGAACAACCCGGGGAAACUCGGGCUAAUACCGUAUAAGCCUUACGAGGGAAAGGGGGCCUCUCCAUGGAAGCCCUCGCUGUCGGAUGGGCCUACGUGAGAUUAGCUUGUUGGUGAGGUAAUGGCUCACCAAGGCAACGAUCUCUAGCUGGUCUGAGAGGAUGAUCAGCCACACUGGGACUGAGAUACGGCCCAGACUCCUACGGGAGGCAGCAGUGGGGAAUAUUGCGCAAUGGGCGAAAGCCUGACGCAGCUAUGCCGCGUGUGUGACCGAAGGUUUUUGGAUUGUAAAACACUUUAAGUAGUGAAGAAGGCGUGAACGGUUAAUACCCGAUCAGGUUGACGUUAACUACAGAAUAAGCACCGGCUAACUCCGUGCCAGCAGCCGCGGUAAUACGGGGGGUGCAAGCGUUAAUCGGAAUUACUGGGCGUAAAGAGUACGUAGGCGGAUUGAAAAGUUGGAUGUGAAAGCCCCGAGCUUAACUUGGGAACUGCAUCCAAAACUUUCAGUCUAGAGUAUGAAAGAGGGGGGUAGAAUUCACGGUGUAGCGGUGGAAUGCGUAGAGAUCGUGAGGAAUACCAGUGGCGAAAGCGGCCCUCUGGUUCAAUACUGACGCUGAGGUACGAAAGCGUGGGGAGCAAACAGGAUUAGAUACCCUGGUAGUCCACGCCCUAAACGAUGACAACUCGCUGUUGGGAGUUUUAAAUUCUCAGUGGCUCAGCUAACGCGUUAAGUUGUCCGCCUGGGGAGUACGACCGCAAGGUUAAAACUCAAAUGAAUUGACGGGGGGCCCGCACAAGCGGUGGAGCAUGUGGUUUAAUUCGAUGCAACGCGAAAAACCUUACCUACCUUUGACAUUCCCAGAAG
rnacentral:rRNA from 1 species